UACGUAGGUGGCAAGCGUUAUCCGGAAUUACUGGGCGUAAAGCGCACGCAGGCGGCGUAUCAAGUUCGACGUGAAAGCUCCCGGCUUAACUGGGAGAGGUCGUUGAAGACUGAUAUGCUUGAGGCAAGGAGAGGGGUGUAGAAUUCCCGGUGUAGUGGUGGAAUGCGUAGAUAUCGGGGGGGAAUACCAGUGGGCGAAAGCGGCACCCUAGCCUUAGCCUGACGCCCCAUGUGCGAAAAGCGUGGGGAGCGAACGGG
rnacentral:rRNA from 1 species